rnacentral:rRNA from 1 species
CAGUAGCCGCGGUAAUACGGAGGAUCCGAGCGUUAUCCGGAAUUAUUGGGUUUAAAGGGUGCGUAGGCGGAUAGAUAAGUCAGUGGUGAAAGACGGUGGCUCAACCAUCGCAGUGCCGUUGAUACUGUUUAUCUUGAAUAUGGAUGAGGUAGGCGGAAUGUGGCAAGUAGCGGUGAAAUGCAUAGAUAUGCCACAGAACACCGAUUGCGAAGGCAGCUUACCAAGGCAAAAUUGACGCUGAGGCACGAAAGCGUGGGGAUCGAACAGGAUUAGAUACCCGCGUAGUCCCUGUCUCUUAUAC